rnacentral:rRNA from 1 species
AACGAACGCUGGCGGCGUGGAUAAGACAUGCAAGUCGAACGGAACUUUCAGCUGUAGCAAUACAGUUGAAAGUUUAGUGGCGAACGGGUGCGUAACACGUGGGCAAUCUGCCGAGAAGUGGGGGAUAGCUCGCCGAAAGGCGAAUUAAUACCGCAUGUGAUCAGGAAAGACAUCUUUCCAACAUUAAAGCCGGGGUUAAACCUGGCGCUUCUUGAUGAGCCCGCGGCCUACAGCUAGUUGGUGAGGUAACGGCUCACCAAGGCUUUGACGGGUAGCUGGUCUGAGAGGACGACCAGUCACACUGGAACUGAGACACGGUCCAGACACCUACGGGUGGCAGCAGUCGAGAAUUUUUCUCAAUGGGGAAACCCUGAAGGAGCGACGCCGCGUGGAGGAUGAAGGUCUUCGGGUUGUAAACUCCUGUCAUUUGGGAACAAGGUGC